UGAGGCGUGGCUUCCGGAGCUAACGCGUUAAGUCGACCGCCUGGGGAGUACGGCCGCAAGGUUAAAACUCAAAUGAAUUGACGGGGGCCCGCACAAGCGGUGGAGCAUGUGGUUUAAUUCGAUGCAACGCGAAGAACCUUACCUGGUCUUGACAUCCACGGAAGUUUUCAGAGAUGAGAAUGUGCCUUCGGGAACCGUGAGACAGGUGCUGCAUGGCUGUCGUCAGCUCGUGUUGUGAAAUGUUGGGUUAAGUCCCGCAACGAGCGCAACCCUUAUCCUUUGUUGCCAGCGGUCCGGCCGGGAACUCAAAGGAGACUGCCAGUGAUAAACUGGAGGAAGGUGGGGAUGACGUCAAGUCAUCAUGGCCCUUACGACCAGGGCUACACACGUGCUACAAUGGCGCAUACAAAGAGAAGCGACCUCGCGAGAGCAAGCGGACCUCAUAAAGUGCGUCGUAGUCCGGAUUGGAGUCUGCAACUCGACUCCAUGAAGUCGGAAUCGCUAGUAAUCGUGGAUCAGAAUGCCACGGUGAAUACGUUCCCGGGCCUUGUACACACCGCCCGUCACACCAUGGGAGUGGGUUGCAAAAGAAGUAGGUAGCUUA
rnacentral:rRNA from 1 species